rnacentral:lncRNA from 1 species
GAACUAGUUAUUUCCUACUCGCCUCCUGGAAUGGCUAAUAAAAUAAACACUAAAGCUUUGCAGUCCCCAAAAAGACCAUGAAGCCCUGAGAGUAAUGGAAAGGUUCCUGAAAUUGAGGUCACUGUGGAAGCCUCAGCCGAGAUGUCUCACCCCACUCUCUCUGAUGCAACAAGAAGCCCCUGGGGAACGUUUCAGUCCCACUCUGUACUUCUGUCACAUGCUCAUCACAGUCUGAGCCACCUAAGCUGAAGAUUCCCUUGAGAACAAGGGCUAGCCUGUGAUUUCGUGACCUUUCUUCCAUUUGUGGUUCUUGCCAAGUGGAAUUUAAAUGACCUUUUAUCAAGAUGGAUAAACCCAAGUUUCCCAGUGCCAGAAUAUAGAAAAUGGAUGGAUAAGUAAGUCCCACUCAGCACCCAUAGCCCAGACAUGGGGACCUCAACACACCUGGGUCCCAGACAUCACCUU